rnacentral:misc_RNA from 1 species
AACGCACCUUGCGCUCCCGGCAGAUCUAAUCUGGGGAGCAUGCCUGUUUGAGGGCCGCGAAUUGUUUCGAACGACAACUUUUUUCACAAAGAGUUGGCGGAUCGGUAUUGAGAGUUUUUUGCCAUUCACCGUGGCUCUCUCGAAAUGCAUUAGCGCAUCCAUUUGAUAGGCAAGACGGACGAAAGCUCAUCUUUCGCUCUCUCUUCCCUGCCGGGUUUUGAUAAUAUCAGGACUUCGGAGAGGUUGAGAUGGGUACGAGCUGGACGCAACGACUUGCUGUUUGGAGUGCUUCUGAAACCCGCCCAUGUCGAGCAACUAUGCUCGGAAGGGAUUUUAAUAAUUCACAUCGGCCUCAGAUUGGUAGGACUACCCGCUGAACUUAA